UUGCAAUAUUUAAAAGAGGAGAGUGACUUUUUACAUGGGCAGGUAGUGAUAGGACAAGAAGGAAUGGUUUUA